GACGAACGCUGGCGGCGUGCUUAACACAUGCAAGUCGAACGGAAAGGCCCUGCUUUUGUGGGGUGCUCGAGUGGCGAACGGGUGAGUAACACGUGAGUAACCUGCCCUUGACUUUGGGAUAACUUCAGGAAACUGGGGCUAAUACCGGAUAGGAGCUCCUGCUGCAUGGUGGGGGUUGGAAAGUUUCGGCGGUUGGGGAUGGACUCGCGGCUUAUCAGCUUGUUGGUGGGGUAGUGGCUUACCAAGGCUUUGACGGGUAGCCGGCCUGAGAGGGUGACCGGCCACAUAGGGACUGAGAUACGGCCCAGACUCAUACGGGAGGCAGCAGUGGGGAAUAUUGCACAAUGGGCGGAAGCCUGAUGCAGCAACGCCGCGUGCGGGAGGACGGCCUUCGGGUGGUAAACCGCUUUCGCCUGUGACGAAGCGUGAGUGACGGUAAUGGGGAAAGAAGCACCGGCUAACUACGU
rnacentral:rRNA from 1 species